AUUGAACGCUGGCGGAAUGCUUUACACAUGCAAGUCGAAUGGCAGCACGGACUUCGGUCUGGUGGCGAGUGGCGAACGGGUGAGUAACAUAUCGGAACGUAUCCAAUAAUGGGGGAUAACGAGUCGAAAGAUUCGCUAAUACCGCAUACGCCCUACGGGGGAAAGCUGGGGACCUUCGGGCCUGGCGUUAAUGGAGCGGCCGAUAUCUGCUUAGCUAGUUGGUGAGGUAAAGGCUCACCAAGGCGACGAUCAGUAGCUGGUCUGAGAGGACGACCAGCCACACUGGAACUGAGACACGGUCCAGACUCCUACGGGAGGCAGCAGUGGGGAAUUUUGGACAAUGGGCGCAAGCCUGAUCCAGCCAUUCCGCGUGAGUGAAGAAGGCCUUCGGGUUGUAAAGCUCUUUCGCAAGGGAAGAAAACUUAGCCACUAACAUUGGUUGAGGUUGACGGUACCUUGAUAAGAAGCACCGGCUAACUACGUGCCAGCCGCCGCCGUAA
rnacentral:rRNA from 1 species